rnacentral:lncRNA from 1 species
GAGAAGAUCUGGAUGUCUACAACAUUUGAAUAUCGUUACAUAUUUAUCUCUCCCCUGGUUUUCGUUGGUGCUCUGUUUUCUUAAUUGUCAUGAGCCGCUGGCAAGCUAUUUCCUCUUUUGCUUGCAUAAAGGGUGCUACAUCUCUUGAAGACGACGGAAGUGCCUGCUCAUGGACCUGGAUGUCUGUCUCGAGCCGUCGAUGGAUCAAGGAUGGCUGAUCAAGAACCACAACACGAGAUCAUGUAUGGGAAGGCUCGUUUUUAAUGUUUGUUUAAGUGUUUGGCUAGUGUGCAUGUCUGAAUAAAACAUGUGCUACUUAAGUUUCUGGAAUAACUCUAUGGUGAGCUUGGAUUUUUAGUAGUUUGUGAACAUGUAAUGCGAAGAAACCGCAUCUGCUGUUGCAUGCCUUCUGUCACUA